rnacentral:rRNA from 1 species
UACAGAGGUCUCAAGCGUUGUUCGGAUUCAUUGGGCGUAAAGGGUGCGUAGGCGGCGCGGUAAGUCGGGUGUGAAAUCUUGGAGCUUAACUCCGAAACUGCAUUCGAUACUGCCGUGCUUGAGGACUGGAGAGGAGACUGGAAUUUACGGUGUAGCGGUGAAAUGCGUAGAUAUCAAGAGGAACACCAGUGGCGAAGGCGAGUCCCUGGACGAUACCUGACACUGAGGCACGAAAGCCAAGGGAGCAAACAGG